rnacentral:lncRNA from 1 species
CAGACGAGAGGAUGACAUUCAAAAAAAUUGUUACCCGCUCAGCCAUGUGAUAUGGCAUUUUAAUAUGAAGUAUAAUAAAAUAAAUUGUCACCCUCGUAUUAACCAAUCAAAAUAUUGCAUUUUAAUGUAUUUUAAGUAUAAUACAAUGUCACACUGUCAAAUGAUAUAUUGACUGAGGGACAUACUUCUUGUAUACUAGAAUUUGUUUCAUCCGAGAUAGUGUCAAAACAAGACAAAUAAUACCAAAUUCAUCACAUUUCCUAAUAUAAUAUGCUGUUGUCAACGAGACAAUCUAUCGACGAGAUUUAAAAUGAAGUGGUAGAAAGCAAAUAUUGGUCACCGUACAAUUAUAAUAAAAUGGAACUUGAAAUAUCUUCCACCCAAAAACAAAACAUAACACAAUUUUCAAUUAACAUUUAUUUGCAUACUGCAUACCAUACAUAAUUUAAACAUCUC